rnacentral:rRNA from 1 species
AUUGAACGCUGGCGGCAUGCCUUACACAUGCAAGUCGAACGGCAGCACGGGGGCAACCCUGGUGGCGAGUGGCGAACGGGUGAGUAAUAGUAUCGGAACGUACCCUAGAGUGGGGGAUAACGUAGCGAAAGUUACGCUAAUACCGCAUACGAUCUACGGAUGAAAGUGGGGGCUCGCAAGACCUCAUGCUCAUGGAGCGGCCGAUAUCUGAUUAGCUAGUUGGUGAGGUAAAGGCUCACCAAGGCGACGAUCAGUAGCUGGUCUGAGAGGACGACCAGCCACACUGGGACUGAGACACGGCCCAGACUCCUACGGGAGGCAGCAGUGGGAAUUUUGGACAAUGGGGGCAACCCUGAUCCAGCAAUGCCGCGUGAGUGAAGAAGGCCUUCGGGUUGUAAAGCUCUUUUGUCAGGGAAGAAACGGUGAAGGCUAAUAUCCUUUGCUAAUGACGGUACCUGAAGAAUAAGCACCGGCUAACUACGUG